UGGGGAAUAUUGGGCAAUGGGCGCAAGCCUGACCCAGCAACGCCGCGUGAAGGAAGAAGGCUUUCGGGUUGUAAACUUCUUUUAUAAGGGACGAAACAAAUGACGGUACCUUAUGAAUAAGCCACGGCUAACUACGUGCCAGCAGCCGCGGUAAUACGUAGGUGGCAAGCGUUAUCCGGAGUUACUGGGUGUAAAGGGCGUGUAGGCGGGACUGCAAGUCAGAUGUGAAAACCAUGGGCUCAACCCAUGGCCUGCAUUUGAAACUGUAGUUCUUGAGUGAUGGAGAGGCAGGCGGAAUUCCGUGUGUAGCGGUGAAAUGCGUAGAUAUACGGAGGAACACCAGUGGCGAAGGCGGCCUGCUGGACAUUAACUGACGCUGAGGCGCGAAAGCGUGGGGAGCAAACAGG
rnacentral:rRNA from 1 species